GUGAGUCCUUUUUCCUGUGCCCACCUUGGCUGCCUCCUGUGUUAAACAGAGAUAAUGAGAAUUAAAAUAAUGGUAACAGCCCCAACUUUAUUACCAUGCUACAAAUGCGUAAGCCUGCCGUCCUGUCUAAGACCAACACAUGGGACUGCUAUACAUGGUUCUUCUCAAAUCCAUUGUUUUCUUUUCUGGUGUAAGUGAAGAAUUGAAGGCUUAUGGGGUCGGUCUACAGACCGUUAUUGAGUUCCUACAGAAUACCCGGUUCUGGGCUUGGCGCUGGAUCAGUCAGGCCCUGUUGGGUCUUGCACUCAAAUGACAAACGUACAAGGCUUACACCGUGUGUCAGAUGGCAAUGGUGAAGCAGCAUCAGGGAGUUGGGGAGGAGAGGUGGACUGCUUUUUUUAUUGGAGGGAGGUCAAGAAGGAUGCCUGAAUAAGGUAACAUUUGAGCAGAGUCCUAAAGACAGUGAGGGGACAAAUCAUCAGACUAGCAGGGGAAAAAGAACUCCAGGUGGGGGGAACAGCAACGGCAAAGGCUGUGAGGUAGAAACGCAAUAACGUGUUUGAGGAAUAAGGAGGCCAGG
rnacentral:lncRNA from 1 species